UACAGAGGGUGCGAGCGUUAAUCGGAAUUACUGGGCGUAAAGCGUGCGUAGACGGUUACGUAAGUCAGAUGUGAAAGCCCCGGGCUCAACCUGGGAAUUGCAUUUGAGACUGCGUAGCUAGGGUGCGGAAGAGGGAAGCGGAAUUUCCGGUGUAGCGGUGAAAUGCGUAGAUAUCGGAAGGAACACCAGUGGCGAAAGCGGCUUCCUGGUCCAGCACCGACGUUCAGGCACGAAAGCGUGGGGAGCAAACAGG
rnacentral:rRNA from 1 species